GGGCAUUUAUAGUCUAGUGAGUGUGUAUAUGGUGGGCAUUUAUAGCCUAGUUAGUGUGUAUAUGGUGGGCAUUUAUAGUCUAGUGAGUGUGUAUAUGGUGGGCAUUUAUAGUCUAGUGAGUGUGUGUAUGGUGGGCAUUUAUAGUCUAGUGGUUGUGUAUAUGGUGGGCAUUUAUAGUCUAGUGAGUGUGUAUAUGGUGGGCAUUUAUAGUCUAGUGAGUGUGUAUAUGGUGGGCAUUUAUAGUCUGGUGAGGGUGUAUAUGGUGGGCAUUUAUAGUCUAGUGAGUGUGUAUAUGGUGGGCAUUUAUAGUCUAGUGAGUGUGUAUAUGGUGGGCAUUUAUAGUCUAGUGAGUGUGUAUAUCGUGGGCAUUUAUAGUCUAGUGAGUGUGUAUAUGGUGGGCAUUUACAGUCUAGUGAGGGUGUAUAUGGUGGGCAUUUAUAGUCUAGUGAGGGUGUGUAGGGU
ensembl:lncRNA